rnacentral:tRNA from 1 species
UCUUGGCUGGCUCAGUCGGAAGAGCAUGUGACUCUUGAUCUCGGGUUCAUGAGUUCAAACCCCAUGUUGGGCA